rnacentral:rRNA from 1 species
GAUUAACGCUGGCGGCGUGCCUAACACAUGCAAGUCGAGCGAGAAGUCGGAAGUGAAACUUCGGUGAAGCAGAAGAUGGAAAGCGGCAGACGGGUGAGUAACGCGUGAAUAAUCAACCCUGUACAAAGGGAUAGCCUCGGGAAACCGGGAUUAAUACCAUAUGAAGUAUAUUAAUCGCAUGAUAGAUAUAUUAAAACUUUGGUGGUACAGGACGAGUUCGCGUCCCAUUAGCUAGUUGGUGAGAUAAAAGCUUACCAAGGCGACGAUGGGUAGCCGGCCUGAGAGGGUGAACGGCCACACUGGAACUGAGACACGGUCCAGACUCCUACGGGAGGCAGCAGUGGGGAAUAUUGCACAAUGGAGGAAACUCUGAUGCAGCGACGCCGCGUGAGCGAAGAAGGCUUUCGAGUCGUAAAGCUCUGUCCUAAGAGAAGAAGAAGUGACGGUAACUUAGGAGGAAGCCCCGGCUAACUACGUG